rnacentral:rRNA from 1 species
CGCGGCCUAUCAGCUUGUUGGUGAGGUAAUGGCUCACCAAGGCUUCGACGGGUAGCCGGCCUGAGAGGGCGACCGGCCACACUGGGACUGAGAUACGGCCCAGACUCCUACGGGAGGCAGCAGUGGGGAAUAUUGCACAAUGGGCGCAAGCCUGAUGCAGCAACGCCGCGUGCGGGAUGACGGCCUUCGGGUUGUAAACCGCUUUCAGUAGGGACGAAGCUAACGUGACGGUACCUACAGAAGAAGGACCGGCUAACUACGCGCCAGCAGCCGCGGCGAUACGUAGGGUCCGAGCGUUGUCCGGAAUUAUUGGGCGUAAAGGGCCUGUAGGCGGUCCGUCGCGUCAGGAGUGAAAACUCGGGGCUUAACCCCGAGCCUGCUUUUGAUACGGGCGGACUAGAGGGAUGCAGGGGAGAACGGAAUUCCUGGUGGAGCGGUGGAAUGCGCAGAUAUCAGGAGGAACACCGGUGGCGAAGGCGGUUCUCUGGGCAUCACCUGACGCUGAGAAGCGAAAGCGUGGGGAGCAAACAGGCUUAGAUACCCUGGUAGUCCACGCCGUAAACGGUGGGCACUAGGUGUGGGGGACAUUCCACGUUCUCCGUGCCGAAGCUAACGCAUUAAGUGCCCCGCCUGGGGAGUACGG